rnacentral:rRNA from 1 species
UGCAGUCGAGCGGACUGAUGGGAGCUUGCUCCCUGAAGUCAGCGGCGGACGGGUGAGUAACACGUGGGCAACCUGCCUGUAAGACUGGGAUAACUCCGGGAAACCGGGGCUAAUACCGGAUAAUUCUUUCCCUCACAUGAGGGAAAGCUGAAAGAUGGUUUCGGCUAUCACUUACAGAUGGGCCCGCGGCGCAUUAGCUAGUUGGUGAGGUAACGGCUCACCAAGGCAACGAUGCGUAGCCGACCUGAGAGGGUGAUCGGCCACACUGGGACUGAGACACGGCCCAGACUCCUACGGGAGGCAGCAGUAGGGAAUCUUCCGCAAUGGACGAAAGUCUGACGGAGCAACGCCGCGUGAGUGAUGAAGGUUUUCGGAUCGUAAAACUCUGUUGUUAGGGAAGAACAAGUACCGGAGUAACUGCCGGUACCUUGACGGUACCUAACCAGAAAGCCACGGCUAACUACGUGCCAGCAGCCGCGGUAAUACGUAGGUGGCAAGCGUUGUCCGGAAUUAUUGGGCGUAAAGCGCGCGCAGGCGGUUCCUUAAGUCUGAUGUGAAAGCCCCCGGCUCAACCGGGGAGGGUCAUUGGAAACUGGGGAACUUGAGUGCAGAAGAGAAGAGUGGAAUUCCACGUGUAGCGGUGAAAUGCGUAGAGAUGUGGAGGAACACCAGUGGCGAAGGCGACUCUUUGGUCUGUAACUGACGCUGAGGCGCGAAAGCGUGGGGGAGCAAACAGGAUUAGAUACCCUGGUAGUCCACGCCGUAAACGAUGAGUGCUAAGUGUUAGAGGGUUUCCGCCCUUUAGUGCUGCAGCAAACGCAUUAAGCACUCCGCCUGGGGAGUACGGGCCGCAAAGGCUGAAACUCAAAGGGAAUUGACGGGGGCCCCGCACAAGCGGUGGAGCAUGUGGUUUAAUUUCGAAGCAACGCGAAGGACCUUACCAGGUCUGGACAUCUCCUGACACCUUAGAGAUAGGGCGUCCCCUUUCGG